UGCCCCUUGGCCAAGUGGUAAGGCAGAGGUUUUUGGUACCUCCAUGCGCUGGUUCGAUCCCAGCAGGGGCAACUA
rnacentral:tRNA from 1 species